CAAUCAUCUACAUCUCAGAGUAUCACUGUCAGAGGUCCAGGCUCAACUGCUGCUUCAUCAAUGACACUCCCUGCAACAGAAGGAAGCAGAUGCUGUGUGAUAGAGGAGGAAAUUCAGUCAUUAAAAAGCUUCAAAACUGAUAAGAAGGUGAAAUUGGUUUGACAAGGCAUCAGGACCAUGUGAGAUGCAUCCCAGGUUACUAGGGAGGUUAAUAUAAAAUGAGGAAGGACAGGUGGAAACAGAGAAAAUAUGUCUAUUGUCAAGAGAUAUGGCCAAGCACUGGAAAAAUGGAAGCAUCAAUUAGUUUGACAAUGUGACAAGCUAAGAGCAUUACCAGCAGCCUUGAACAUGACUUCAGAUAUAUUGCUCACCAUGGAUCUGGCUGGCAGUCGUUUUGAGUAGUCAAAUAAUAGAGCAAGGAAUAAAAAAACCCUGCACCUACCUUAGAUCCUGAAGCUUCUGUUCUCUACCACCAGCACAAGGUGAAUUUCUGAAGCCUUAACAUUUAUUGUUCUUUAACAUUUAAGUGACAAGUGUUUUGAGUUAGAUUUGCAAAC